CCUUCGAUAGCUCAGCUGGAAGAGCGGAGGACUGUAGAUCCUUAGGUCGCUGGUUCAAUUCCGGCUCGAAGGA
rnacentral:tRNA from 1 species